rnacentral:piRNA from 2 species
UACUCUGUGAAAGGACAACAGUGUCUUGUA